AUCACACAACAUGUAUAUAUUUUUUGGCUGUAUUCAGUGGAAUGGAAACCAGUGGAAUCAAAGAAAAGAAGGAUAGAAGCAAUUCAGAGAGUGAAAUUUCCACAAAGGGAAUAAAAGAGUUGAAGUCAAAGAGACAAUUAAGGUGCCUUGGGGGAACAGCCUGCAUGUAGAGGACCCACUCCGGAACAGACCCUCAGUUCCCUCUUUGAGGUGGAGAGGGUGAAAGAGCAAGGUGCAGAAGCAAUCAAACAGGGGUGAGCUGUAAGCAAAGA